rnacentral:tRNA from 1 species
GGUAGCGUGGCCGAGCGGUCUAAGGUGUUGGUUUAAGGCACCAUUUUCUUCGGAGGCGUGGGUUCGAAUCCCGCCUCUGCCA